rnacentral:rRNA from 1 species
UACAGAGGUCCCAAGCGUUGUUCGGAUUUACUGGGCGUAAAGGGUGCGUAGGCGGUUGGGUAAGUCUGACGUGAAAUCUCCGGGCCUAACCCGGAAACUGCGUUGGAUACUAUUUGACUAGAGGAAUGGAGGGGAGACUGGAAUACUUGGUGUAGCAGUGAAAUGCGUAGAUCUCAAGUGGAACACCAGUGGCGAAGGCGAGGCUCUGGACAUUUCCUGACGCUGAGGCACGAACGCCAGGGGAGCAAACUGA